UAUGUGCUGCGUGCUGGGUGCUGCAUGCUGCUGUGUGCUGCGUGCUGCGUGCUGCACAUCCCCACCAUGCCCACGUACCCAUCCCCACCAUGGCCAUGGAACCAUCACGGUUGGAAAAGUCCUCCAAGACCCCCAAGUCCAAUCCCCCCAUCACCGCUGUGCCCAUGGAACCAUCCAGGUUGGGGAAGUCCUCCAAGACCCCCACCAUGCCCAACCCCAACCCAUCCCCACCAUGCCCACAGAACCAUCCAGGUUGGGAUGGUCCUCCAAGACCCCCAAGUCUGACCCCGAAGUCCGACACCCUUCCAUUGCUGCCAUGCCCACGGAACCAUCCAGGUUGGGGAGGUCCUCCAAGACCCCCAAGUCCAACCCCCUUCCAUCCCCACCCUGCCCAUAGAACCAUCCAGGUUGGGAAGGUCCUCCAAGACCCCCAAGUCCAACCCCCUUCCAUCCCCACCCUGCCCACAGAACCAUCCAGGUUGGAAAGAUCCUCCAAGAGCCCCAAGUCCGACCCCAACCCAUCCCCACUGUGCCCAUAGAACCAUCCAGGUUGGAAAGGUCCUCCAAGACCCUCACCAUGCCCAUAGAACCAUCACGGUUGGAAAGGUCCUUCAAGACCCCCAAGUCCAACCCCCUUCCAUCCCCACCAUGGCCAUGGAACCAUCCAGGUUGGGAAGGUCCUCCAAGACCCCCAAGUCUGACC